rnacentral:rRNA from 1 species
UCCGUUGGUGAACCAGCGGAGGGAUCAUUACAAGAAGCCGAAAGGCUACUUACAACCAUCGAUGAANUCUUCCAAGUUGCUUCGGCGGCGCGGGGCCCCCCGGGGCGCCGCAGCCCGGCCUCUCCGGAGGCGCGGGGCAACCGCCGGAGGUACCAAACCCCUGUAUUUUAGUGGACUUCUGAUUAAACAAGCAAUUAUUAAAACUUUCAACAACGGAUCUCUUGGCUCUGGCAUCGAUGAAGAACGCAGCGAAAUGCGAUAAGUAAUGUGAAUUGCAGAAUUCAGUGAAUCAUCGAAUCUUUGAACGCACAUUGCGCCCGCUAGUACUCUAGCGGGCAUGCCUGUCCGAGCGUCAUUUCAACCCUCAAGCCCUGCUUGGUGUUGGGGCCCUACGGCUGCCGUAGGCCCUGAAACGGAACGUGGCGGGCUCGCUGCAAGCUCCGAUGCGUACGUAAUUCAUUAUCUCGCUACGGGAGGCGNCGGCCGUGCUGCCUGCCGUUAAAAACCCCGUAUUUUAUCCAAGGUUGACCUCGGAUCAGGUAGGAAUACCCKCUGAACUUAAGCCAUAUCAAUAAG